rnacentral:rRNA from 1 species
AUUGAACGCUGGCGGCGGGCCUAACACAUGCAAGUCGAGCGAGCGGCGGACGGGUGAGGAAUGUAUGGGGACUGCCCGAUAGAGGGGGAUAACUACUGGAAACGGUAGCUAAUACCGCAUACUAUCGGAUAACCCAUAUGGGAUUAGCUAGUAGGUGAGGUAAUGGCUCACCUAGGCGACGAUCCCUAGCUGGUCUGAGAGGAUGAUCAGCCAACCUGGGACUGAGCAAUGGCACAGACUCCUACGGAGGCAGCAGUGGGGAAUAUUGCACAAUGGGUGCAAGCCUGAUGCAGCCAUGCCGCGUGUAUGAAGAAGGCCCUAGGGUUGUGAAGUCCUUUCAGGUGGGAGGCGUUACCGACAGAAGAAGCACCGGCGAACGCCGUGCCAGCCGCCGCGGUAAUAC